GCUGGCUAGUUAUAGAUACCAUGGUUGGCUAGUAAGUUAGGUACCUUGGUUGGCUAGUAAGUUAGGUACCUUGGUUGGCUAGUAAGUUAGGUACCUUGGUUGGCUAGUAAGUUAGGUACCUUGGUUGGCUAGUUAGUUAGGUACCUUGGUUGGUUGGCUAGUUAGUUAGGUACCUUGGUUGGUUGGCUAGUUAGGUUAUUUUAACGACCCAGGAUCCCAGACCGUCUGUUGAGGCACCCAGACCAUCUGGUGAGGCACCCAGACCAUCUGGUGAGGGGCACCCAGGACCCCAGACCGUCCGGUGAGGGGCACCCAGGAUCCCAGACCCUGUGACCACAAAGCCCUGACUCUUGCACAUCCAUCCCUGUAGCCAUUUUGAAUUAAUUGAUGCCCCUCCCUCUUUGUCAUCAGUCCCCCACUUUAUAGACAGUUUUUUUUUCCCAGGAAACUUUUAAUUAAUAACUUGGGAUUUUACCACUUGACAUAUCAAUCAUAAUAGUGGGAAGGAGCCUACAGAUCCAGACUGUGUGAGGGCAUGUACCACUCAGAAUAAAUAAAUACUGUGCCUUUUGAAGAUUUUGUCUCUUGUCAUAAACUAUACUGAACAGACAAUAUGUAAAGUGUUGGUCCAAUGUUUCAUGAGCUGAAAAAUGUGUAUAUUCCAGAAAUGAUCCAUAUUUCUCUCAAUUGUUUUGUGCACAAAUUUGUUUCCAUCACCUGUUGGUGAGCAUUUCUCAUUUGUCAAGAUAAUCCAUCCAUCUGACAGGUGUGGUAUAUCAAUAAACUGAUUAAACAGCGUGAUCAUUACACAGGUGCACCUUACGCUGGGGACAAUAACGGCAUGAUCAUUACACAGGUGCACCUUCCGCUGGGGACAAUGACAGCAUGAUCGUUACACAGGUGCACCUUCCGCUGGGGACAAUAACAGCAUGAUCAUUACACAGGUGCACCUUCCGCUGGGGACAAUAACAGCGUGAUCAUUACACAGGUGCACCUUCCGCUGGGGACAAUAACAGCAUGAUCAUUACACAGGUGUAAUCUUCUGCACAUGGCCAGUCUGAUAGUGGUCUUCUCCACAUGGCCAGACUGAUAGUGGUCUUCUCCACAUGGCCAGACUGAUAGUGGUCUUCUCCCCUUUUCAAGGCUCUUAUGCACAUCCUUGAUAAAAUCCAUGAGGUCUGAAGUAGACGCCAAAGUCAACAUACUGUACAAACAGCUAUCUAGGCUAAGGAAUACAACGUUAUGUUUUCCUCUACUGCUCUGCUAACUAGCUAAAGUCUAUAACACUUAGACUAUGGGAUGGAUGCAUUCAUUUACCCUUUCAUACAGUUGUUAUGCUAACUAGCUAGCUAAAGUCUAUAACACUUAGACUGGGAUGGAUGCAUUCAUUUACCCUUUCAUACAGGUAGCCUAGUGGUUAGAGUGUAGGGACGGCAGGUAGCCUUGUGGUUAGAGUGUAGGGACGGCAGGGUAGCCUAGUGGUUAGAGUGUAGGGACGGCAGGGAAGCCUAGUGGUUAGAGUGUAGGGACGGCAGGGUAGCCUAGUGGUUAGAGUGUAGGGACGGCAGGGUAGCCUAGUGGUUAGAGUGUAGGGACGGCAGGGUAGCCUAGUGGUUAGAGUGUAGAGGCGGCAGGGAAGCCUAGUGGUUAGAGUGUAGGGACGGCAGGGUAGCCUAGUGGUUAGAGUGUAGGGACGGCAGGGUAGCCUAGUGGUUAGAGUGUAGGGACGGUAGGGUAGCCUAGUGGUUAGAGUGUAGAGGCGGCAGGGUAGCCUAGUGGUUAGAGUGUAGGGACGGCAGGGUAGCCUAGUGGUUAGAGUGUAAGGACGUCAGGGUAGCCUAGUGGUUAGAGUGUUGGGCCAGUAACCGAAAGGUUGCUAGAUUGAAUCCCUGAGCUGACAAGGUAAACAUCUGUCCUUCUGCCCCUGAACAGGGCAGUUCAUAGGCUAUCAUUGUAAAUAAGAAUUUGUUCUUAACUGACUUUCCUAGUUAAAUUUAAAAAGUCUAUAAAAAUAUAGCCAUUUUAACCAGAUUUUCAAAUUGCCUUAAUCUAAAUGUAAGCUGUUAUCCGGCCUAACUUUAUGGAUCUAACAUUAUUGUUUGAUCUAGCAUGGACGACAAGCUGUAACAAGCAAACAAAAAAAGAAAUCACUUUGUCCAGGUUGGCUGGUCUACUGAAGGGGGUCAUUUAUUUUACACUUUUUAAAUUAUUGGGCUACUUUCUGACUGUAGGCCAGAAUUUGAGGCUAAAUAAUAUAGUUUGUAAACUUCCAUCCGCUCGGAUAACAAUCCGAGAUCGUUGGUACGUCCAUACACUAAACCCUAACAACCCUGAGCAUAACCUUAACCGUGUUAAAACGUCAACUUGCAUGAGGGUAAGGCCAUCCACAAGGAACCUGAUAACACGGCUCCCUCUGGACAGACACCGUUUGACAGUCAAAGGAGGAGGGGGGGCGGGAUCAACAUUGUUGUUCUAUGACGUAGCUCUUCCCUUUUUUUUUUACAUCCAAUGAAGACUUGAGAAUAAUUCGCAGAACCACGCCCUAUAAGCCACCACUGUAGGCCAAUCGUUUUUAAGCAUGGUGAGGGAAACAAGGCGGGGUUUCAGUUGACAAGCACGUUGACGUGAGAUUCUCUCAGUCGACGACUCCUUCAGUUUGUUUUAGUACCGGGGCGACCAGCGUUUAGACACCCGAUGUUUUCACAAUGCGGAUCUAACUUCAACAACAGCUGGGGGCUUUUUAAAAAUUAUUAUAUAUAUAUAUUUUUUAGCGUUUCCACGGCUAGUUACCAAUCCAUCCGAUUAGUAUUCACAUCUAUAAGGAAGUUUACAAAAAACGGGAGG